rnacentral:rRNA from 1 species
UACAGAGGGUGCUAGCGUUGUUCGGAAUCAUUGGGCGUAAAGGGCGUGUAGGCGGUUUGUUAAGUCAUGUGUGAAAUCCCUCGGCUUAACCGGGGAACUGCGUCUGAUACUGGAUGGCUUGAAUCCGGGAGAGGGAUGCGGAAUUCCAGGUGUAGCGGUGAAAUGCGUAGAUAUCUGGAGGAACACCGGUGGCGAAGGCGGCAUCCUGGACCGGCAUUGACGCUGAGGAGCGAAAGCCAGGGGAGCAAACGGG